AGGGAAAAAAAAAAGGAUUUGUC
rnacentral:miRNA from 1 species